rnacentral:rRNA from 1 species
UGGGGAAUAUUGGACAAUGGGCGCAAGCCUGAUCCAGCCAUGCCGCGUGAGUGAUGACGGCCUUAGGGUUGUAAAGCUCUUUCGACGGGGACGAUAAUGACGGUACCCGUAGAAGAAGCCCCGGCUAACUUCGUGCCAGCAGCCGCGGUAAUACGAAGGGGGCUAGCGUUGUUCGGAAUCACUGGGCGUAAAGCGCACGUAGGCGGAUUGUUAAGUCGGGGGUGAAAUCCUGAGGCUCAACCUCAGAACUGCCUUCGAUACUGGCAAUCUCGAGUCCGGAAGAGGUUGGUGGAACAGCUAGUGUAGAGGUGAAAUUCGUAGAUAUUAGCUAGAACACCAGUGGCGAAGGCGGCCAACUGGUCCGGUACUGACGCUGAGGUGCGAAAGCGUGGGGAGCAAACAGGAUUAGAUACCCGCGUAGUCC